UACGUAGGUGGCAAGCGUUGUCCGGAUUUAUUGGGCGUAAAGAGCGUGUAGGCGGCCACACAGGUCUGCUGUGAAAACUCGAGGCUCAACCUCGAGCUGUCGGUGGAAACCGUGUGGCUAGAGUCCGGAAGAGGAGAGUGGAAUUCCCGGUGUAGCGGUGAAAUGCGCAGAUAUCGGGAAGAACACCCGUGGCGAAGGCGGCUCUCUGGGACGGUACUGGACGCUGAGACGCGAAAGCGUGGGGAGCGAACAGG
rnacentral:rRNA from 1 species